AGGAGCCGGAUGAAUCGAGAGAUUCACGUCCGGUUGCGUGAGAGCCUGAGGGUGAGAUCCCCUUGGGCUACUCGAC
rfam:Candidatus Regiella insecticola LSR1 genomic scaffold Scaffold1, whole genome shotgun sequence.